UGUUAUGUAGUGGGACUGAACCUGAGACCAGGCCAUGCUGUUUAUGCUCUGAGUUCAAAUCCCACCAAGUCAGCCUGGCCUUUCGUUCUUUCAGGGUCAAUAAGAUAAGUACCAGUCAAGUGUUAGUCAACAGUAUUAACUAAUCCCUUUGCCCAAAUUUCAAACCUUCUGCCUAUGUUAAAAACAAUUAUCUUCGAUAGUUUAGUGGUUCUCAACUGGGAUCCCUAUAAGAUUUGGGGUAGGGUUGUCCAUGCUUGCAAAAUAGUAAACUUGAGAUCCACAGUUAUUUUAAAGGUCCAGGAAAAGUUUUAGUUUAAUUGUAGGUACUGCAAGAAACAGGUUUCUUUCUCUAUUUUACAUAGUUCAACCUAUACAAGUGAAUGAGUGAAUAGCAAAAUAGGAAUUUUGAAAGAAGUAUCUAUAAAAUUAGUUCUUAAACUGAAUUGCUAUGGUCCAAGUAAAAAAUGGUUAAGAACCACUAGUUUACAUGAAAAAAAUCUCAACUAAUUCUCUAGAACGAUCAUAUUUUUGACUUCUGACAUUGAUAAAAAUGUUUGUAAACAGAAUUUCAAAUUAAGGAGCGGAUGGUUAGUUCUUUAAGUAAUUUCUGGACUGGAAUCUGUUCCAUUGCAUUUAUUUCUUUAUGGUAAGGACUGUUUGUAUCAUUAGAUAAGGAGGAGAGAUUAGGAUUCCUGGUUUGGGGGUUAACCUAGGAUAGAGCAGUGGAGAAAAAAGUAUUGAAUCAAUGUAUCCAGGAGUAAACCUAUGGAUACAGCAGUGUUUAUUGAUGCGAUGAUGUACCCUGGUGAAGUUUCAUGACAGGGUAGAUAGAACACCUGGUGAAAAUGAGACCGAGUAAGAGCAGUGAAAAUAAAUAUAACCAAUUGAAUUUAUGAGACAACAGAUGUACCCAGGUGAAGUUAUAUGACAGGAAAGCCUACCAUUAUCUUCAUUCUUGUGAAGCAAACAUGUCUCCCAUCUACACAUCACUGUUCUAUUUUAGUUCUAUGAAACAGCAAACAGUGAAAACCCAUUUCUGCUUCUUAGUAUUUUUCCAUGAACUCAAUGUGGGUGUGAUAUCUUUAGAAUUAUCUACUCUUCGUAGUGUUAUCUGACAUCAUCAUUUCAUGCUGGGCGUUAACCCCCCACUCUGCUGAAUACAGGAAGGCCUAUAAUGGUUUAAAUUCCCAACAUAACCAUCAAACCCUUACUCUGAUUGACUGUUUAUUUCAGUGGGUUUUAACAUAACUCCAGAGAAAUGGUUUCUGCUUUUCUAUCUAGAAUUAAUAAUAGUGUUGAAUUUAUUUCUCAAGCAAUACUUGGAACCAGGCUUCUUAGAUGGGGAUUGUCUUGUGUUAAUACUGAAGUGACUGGUUUGGUUAUCAACCAUUUAAAUAUAACAUUAUUUUGGAGUUGAUCUAACCUUUCAACCUUCUGAAGUGAGUAUAAUUAAAACAAGUAAUGUAGUGAGGGUCAGUUAGAUUGUCUAUGCCCAUGCUGUAGAAAUCUGAGUUAGAUGUUAUGCCAAUAUUUAAAAUGAAUGCUUCUUACCUGUAUUUGUCUCUGUUAUAAAUUUGUCAUCUCACACCUCAUUCAACUGAUUUUCUUAAUUUUUCAUGUUUUUUAUGGCAUUCAAAUUUCCAACAAAGUUAUCUCUGUUAAAAGUAAGAUUUUGAAAAAUUUUGUAAAGAAAAAGGUUAUCAUAAUAAUUUAUAUCCAACUUGGUGAAUUAUAUAUGGAAUAACUCCAAACAUUACAAAUGUUGAUAUUUUAGAUAAUGCUGCCCUGACAUGACUGGAACCUGUUAAUGAGUAAAAACCCUGAGUCCCUAAAACUCUAUCUUGAAAAUAAAGAAUGUUUUAAAACUAGGAAAGGAAACAGAAUAAUUAUUGAUAUCUGCAAUAAUGAAGGUGGAGAGCUGUGAGAAUCGUUGGCCCACCUGGCAAAGGGUUUAGCGUUUCACCCAUCUUUAUGUUUUAAGUUCAAAUUCUGCUGAGGUCGACUUUGCCUUUCAUCCUUUUGGGCUCAAUAAAUUAAGCACCAGUUGAACACUGAGGUCAAUGUAAUUGACUUACCCCCCCUCCUAUGAAAUUGCUGGCCUUGUGUCAAAAUGUGAAACCAAUAUCUGCAAUGUCUUAAGGGCUGGGUGGCUGUAGUCUAUUUUCUUUACCUCAGAACGUAACUGAUACCCUCAAGGACGUGAAUUGAUUAAACUGGCAUGUGUAUUACAUUCAGUCAAGCGUUCCACUGCGUUUGCCACAACAGUUCUGCCUUGAGCUGGGAGACCCAUUAGAGUGUCAGGCGGAAAAAGGCUUUGCAGUAUUUCUUCUGACUCAUUACAUUCUGAGUUCAAAUUAGGGUGAGGUUCGCAAAAUAUUGUACCAGUCAAGUACUGGAGUGAAUACUAUUGACUAACCCCUACCUUCAAAUUACUGAUCUUGUACCAAAAUUUGAGAGAAAUGUUCUAAUGUUUCUAUAUAUAUAUAUAUCUAUCCCGCCUCUACUGCUGACUCCAAAUUACUGUACACUGCUAUUUUCUACAACUAUGAUUGUCUGCCCUUUGCAUGGAUGAGCCUUCAUCCUGAAUAAGAUCUUCCCAUAUCUUUCUCUUUCUUUACAAGUGAGGUGAGGGACAGAGAAGACCGGAAUGUUCUAUUCACCCCCACCUCAACGCCACCUGUUUGCUCAUUGCUUCAUCAAUUCUAGGGAGAAAUGAGAAGGAAGUUAUCUUUUCCCAAACAUGCCACCAUGUUUUCCCUCCCCCCCCCCCCCAUGUAGAAGCUGUUGAAAAUAACUCUGCUAUUGCCAAGGUCCAGCUGAGUUGACUGAGUAAACAAACGGUCAAACUGCUUUUUUUACACUUUUGACUCCUGGCCCUUUCGUUGAUCAUUCUCCCAAUACUGGUCUUCUGUCCAUCUGAGGCACAACAAUUGAUUCUCAAAUGUUAACCAGUAAUAAACUGGUGUCCUACCCAGGAUGAAGAUUUCUCUUUCAACAACUUCCCACUCUGAAGUACCAAGCUAAGACAGCAUAUAUUUAUGUCCCCUGCUCAUUAUACUGUCACAACUACUGUCAUUUCUACAACCACCACCAUCAGUUCUCUCAUAACUUACUCGGUUUAAUAUCCAUGUAUACUGGUUGAUUUGUUUUAUAAGCAUUCCUCCCCCCCCCAUGGAACAGCGCUCCCACUAGAACCUUUAAUAUUUCUUUUCAUAUACCAUGGCUGGUGGUUGUCUUCAUGUUUUGUCUCAGUGUUUCCUCAUAAAUCCAAAUAAAUUUGGAGAAAUAUUCAAUGAACCUUUCUUUUUGUGUUGUUAUAUUUUUGUUACUUGUUCAUUUUAAUCAUAAUUUAAAUUGUGUUUUUUUUUUCGUUCUUAUAUAUAAAUAUUUCUUUCAACUUGCGUGAGGGGUCAGUGGUUUGUUUGUAUAGGAUCCAUAAUUUUAGUAUACCACACAACAGACAUUGAGUUCUUCAACAAGGUACUCCACUGUACUUUGACAAGAGAUAUACAUACAUUCAGUCAAGACAAAUUAUGAAACAUGGAACUGAAGCUUUUACCCUUCUGUUACAAUGGAACUGCAGGUCCAUGUUGUUUCAUAACGAAGGGCCAUACCAGCCAUGAUCACUUUAUUCUUCUUUUUAGAUACGAUGCAUCUAAAAGGACAGGUUCUUUCAUGUCCUUCCAGUGGUGGUUUAACUGGUACCUGUUGUCAACAGUAUCACCAACACUGGUGGAAGCACUAGGAUGCGAUAAGCCACUUGAGACAGUUGGGAUCCCUUAUUUGUGUCUUCUUCAGAUCCUAAGCGGGUGAGAAAAUACCCUGUGAUUUCUUUUUUUUUUUUUUUACCCAACUAAGUAUAACUGCAAUUAAAAGAAGGCCAUGGCAGAGAAUCAAAACAGCCAACAUUCAAUGGCCUGAAGUGUCUUGUUUGACCCUUCAGUCUUCAGAUUACUUGGUCAGAUGUUAGGUUUUAUAUAUUCAUCUUGCUUUAAAUUAAUCAAGUGUUAUCACAUAGCUUUUGAGAUUUUGAUGAUGUACUAGUUUAUAUUUAGAAUGAUAUUGUUGGGUAGGCAUGAGAGGCUGGAUCAAGCCAGUUUGAACACAAAACUGGGAGAAUAUAUUUGGGCCCCGAAAUGGCCAGUUUGAAUGCUAAAGGGUUAAUAGUUAUAUGGUGCAUCGAUAUUUUACCAAAAUGGAAAGAAGGUAUGUAAAAAUAAACACGGAAAGGGACAAGUGAUCAUGGUGGUUGUUUAUGUUAGUAAAUAUUUGCUUUUAUAAAAAUUUAAUAAUCUACUUAAAACAAAAGUACUUGAACAAUAGUUGGGGGUAGAAAGAGCAGCAAAAAUAAACUCUACAAAAUAUUAAGAAAGCAACAAACAAAAAUUCAAUAGAUGAUGUGUGACAUUGGCAUUAAAUAGACAUAUGUGUGUUUCUAUUGAAACAUAUAAGAAUUAGGGGUAACCACUGGAACCUAACUACUUUCUGCCCCUGAUGAACUAACUGCCUUAACACACUUUGUUUUAUCUUAAAAAGAAAACCAGUGGAGGCUUAACACUUCCAUCUGCAUUGAAGAAUAUUUACCCAAUGGGUAAAUCUUUUCACACACACACACACACCUACCCCCCUACAAUAUAAACUAUAUUAAUCAAUAAAUAAUUCUGCUUUGUUUUAAUUAUUUCACUGCCAAGAUGAUAUAUGGUCUAUGUUAUGAUUUAAUUAGAAACGAAGCCUGGAAAAUCUAGGAAGGGAGAAACUGGAAGUUGUAUCAUUCAUGCCUUUCCUAAAGUGUUAGUGACAUAAGCAUCACCAGUCUACUAGGUCAACUGGAGAUUUACAUCCCCAAAAAGUCAUCAGAGUUGAUUGCUUACUUUGGUACAUUUCCAGAUAUCUAAAAGCUGCUGAGAGGAAUAUGAAUUUGCUACAUUCAUGCUUUUCUCAGGAGUACAAGAGGUAUAUAUAAGGGGACAAAAAAGGUGAUCUAAAUGGGAAUUAAAACCAAUGUAUGGUCUUAGAUCAAUUAAAUUUUGCCUCUACUUUAGUGUGUUCACUGUAAUGUUGCUAUGGAAACCUAUCUAAUCCAUGCCAACAUGGAAACUGGAUACAAAAUUACUGUUGUUGUCAAUGUUGAUGAAUUCAAAAUUUUGAUCCUAAAGAAGUAUAUUGUCCAAACCUUCAUCUUCAGAGAAUACUUUCACAAGUUAUGGCUGGUAAUGGGUUGAUAUGGGUCAACCUUACAUACUUCCAGGCCUCUCCACUGGGGUGCGUAUUGUCAGACCUAUCUUACUUUACCUGAUAAACAGUUCUAUGGUUGAAGAAUUUGUCAUAAAAAGAAAACAUCCCUAAUUGUUUCUUGAAAGACAUUUUGCCCAAAGAAUUACACAACUUAUUCCAGUGAAGUUGAUGUGAAAACACUGUAAAUACACACACACUAUAUAUAUAUAUAUAUAUAUAUAUAUGAGACCUUCCUCUUAUUGUUUUCUAAAAUACCAAUUCCAGGGUUUGAAUUACUUGAGAAUUAUUCCAAAACCAAACUAAUAGUGAUUACAAAUUAAAUUAACAGAAUCUCCCAGAGGAAUGUCUGCAGCUGGAACAUUUUCCUUCUGUUGGAGAGGUUUCGAAAGGUUUCUUAUGAUAACAUUCUCCAGUGUCAAAUCUGCUGAAUUAUCAUGGUGUCUCUGGAGAAGACUUACAAGAAUGGUUUCUUGUUGCCUUCUCUAGGCAGUGUUUAAUAAUGACAUAAGGGUUAUCACAAUGUCUAUACUUUGUUCAGCUGCAUGAAAAGUUAUUUGCCCAGUGGAAACAACCCAUGUUGACAUUGUGACACUUGACUAUAUUACCGUUGUUUAAAUCUUGCGAGAUUCCAGUAAAUCUUGGCAGGAUUUGAACCUAGUAAUAAAAGUUCUAGAAUAAAAACUCACAACAAUAUUUACCUCUUCAUUGUACCUAUCUACACCUACACAUAUUGAGCCAGUGAGAGUUAAGUGUUUUAACAUGUGGCAUCAACCUUUUUGUUUUAUAAUACUAAUCUCUUAUCGUCUUCCCCUUGUCAUCCUAUUAUUAUGGAUCUCCGAGCAAGCGGGGUUUCAGAUCAGUGGCAUGAGGAUUUUAAUUCCUAGCUGAAAUGAUUUCACUUGAGUCCCUCAUCAUACAAUUCCAUGCCAUCCUAAAAAUCUGUGGAAUUAGGUUAAGUAAUAAAUUGUCAGCAACAAUUACUCACUGUGUCUUGUGUGUGCUGCACCGGGCCCAGUGGAUCUGCAUUUGCUUUGUUAUCCACCACUUUGAAACAUAUCAACAAGAAUUCUUCAUUCCAUUUGAGAUUCAGGCUGGAAAAUAACAAAUUAUUAUUAUUAUUAUUUAGGCUGCAAUUAUUAUUAUUUAGUUCAGACAAUUUCAUUUUCAAUGACAAAAUAAUGGAAACAUGACUGGAAUAACUUCUGGUACCAAUUCCAACCAAAUUUCCAAGUUAAACAUUGGAAAUUACGGGAGAAGGACGGCAGAGUUUCAGAUAGAGAAAGCUAAAGGGUGUGUUCAGUUAUGUCCCUUUUUCGUUUUUGAUACAGAUCCAGUAAAGGUCAAUUUUGCCUUUCAUCUUACUACAUUCAGCCACUUGAAAUACACAGGUCAAUUUAAUUGGCACCUUGGGCAAGUGUGUUCUAAGAUAGCCUUGGCCCAACCAAUGUUGCGAGUGAAAUUGGUGGAUGGAUGGAAACUAUACAGAAGCCCAUCAAAGGUGUUAGUAGGGAUGUUUAUUUUCAGUUUUCUUUUGAAAUCUCUUGAAUAAUGAUGUCAUGUUUAUAUCUUUGUAAACAAUACGUCAUGUGACUCUGGUUUCAAAAUGUGAAGCCCAUUGGAAAAAAAAGUUCCUUACUUUAAAAGCAGAUAAGAGUUAGCAACAGGAAGAGCAACCAGUUGUAGGAAGUCUUGUCCAGUUUGGAAAAAAGGUGACUUCAAAAUGUUGAUUGUUAAGAUGUGAGAGUAGAUACCAGAGAAAUGCCUAACAUUAUUUAGUUAUCACUUUAAGGCAGAAUCGUUAGCAUGCUGGAUAAAAUGUUUAGCAGCAUUUCGUUCUGAGUUCAAAUUCCACUGAGGUAGACUUUGCCUUUCAACCUUCUGAGGCUGAAGAAAUUUAUAUAUUGAGGUAAAUACCACACCACUAUAAAUUUGUGCAAUGUGAUAAAUGAUUGUCACAUUGACUGAGAAACCCAAAUGCUGCUGCUCUCAGUAACAACUUCAGAUUAAUUUGACCAUUUUCAGUUUCCUCUCACUGUGGCUGUGGGAAAUCAAGGUUUUUAUUCGAAUUGCUUGUGUCAUUUAAUACUUUCAGAUAAGGCAUGAACCUCACACAUUCCCAGUUCCCCUGUCCUACUAAAAGUAUGUUUGUGGUCUAUCUAGGAAAUCCUCACAAUUGUUGUGGUGGGGAAAAGCUGAUCAGAUGUUAAGAAGCAAAGUCAGCAAUCCGAGUUCAAGUCAUUGACAAAGCAGUAACCCGAGAUCUCUGAAAAGCAAGGAAUAUUGCUUCUCAUAACUCGAGAACCUGAAACAUUUCAAAUGAUUAUGAGUUUCCACAAACAAUUAUGUAAGAAAUAAACCAUUAUUAUUCUUAUUAAGUGCAGUGAAUAGCAGAAUUGAGAAUGUUAGACAAAAUGCCUUGCAAUAUUUAGGGGUCAAAUUUGCCUUUCAUCUUUCUGGGGGUUGAUAAAAUAAGUACCAUUGAAGUACUGGCAGUUGGUUUAAUCUGUUAUUAAACCCUUCACCUACAAACUUCUGGCCCAGCACCAAAGUUAGAAACUGUUCCCCUUCAUCCAGUGGCAAAUAAAAACAAAUCAUUAUCCUGAUUAUUAUUAUUAUUAUUAUUAUUGAUCUUUCCAUGAGAAUAUUAACUUGCCUCAAGGUAAUAUU